GGAUGCGAUCAUACCAGCACUAAAGCAUCGGAACCCAUAAGAACUUUGAAGUUAAGCAUGCUUGGUCAAGAGUAGUACUAGGAUGGGUGACCUCCUGGGAAGUCCUUGUGUUGCAUUUG
rfam:Triticum aestivum genome assembly, contig: Triticum_aestivum_CS42_TGACv1_scaffold_424752_5BS